UGUUGCUGAGCCACCUCUGGGAGCUGUUGUGUGAAGUGUGGCUCUUUAUGGAAUCUCCACCACCCAGGGGAGCCUCGGAUAAAAGAACAGCCAGCUACAAGUUCUGGUGCCAAGGCAUAGACAAGCAGACCAGUGAGAUGGCCCAGCGGCAAAGGCGCUCGGUGUCAGACCUGACAAACUGAGUUGUAUCUUUGGAACUACUUGGGAGAAGAGGAGAGCUGACUCUCACCAGCUUUCUUCUGUCCUCUCCAUUCACGUCACAACACACCCGCACACAUACACACAAACAGGACAAAAGUCACAGGGGUUUACAGGACGCCUUGGAGUCAGCUCUGCAAAGCUUCUAAAAUGCAUUAGCUCAUCGCCACUGUCCUGGUCUCAUCGCUAAUUGAUGCCAUCAUUCCCUGGUCUCCUAAAGCCAGCUCCCCACAGCACAGCACACAUAAAGUUUUGAAGAUGUAAAGCUGGUGUUAACUAAGGCCAAUGUAAGUCCCCACCGUGGCUCCUGCAGAGUUCACAGCGAAGUCCAUCUCCACGGCACGGCGUGUGGAAUGCUCCUGGACAGGCUUCCCGCUGCAUCCACAGACUUGAUGCUGCUUUGCUCUGCCACAAAUUCCCCUAGAUUCUUUUUUUCAGUCCCUUCCUCUCUAUGCCUACCCUCCGGCUGUUCUCACUCUUCUUCUUAUCCUGGUACCCCGGUUCAUCUGGCUAAAUUGAGGACUUCCUUCAGAGCUAGCUGCUACAGGUUUUUCCUCUUUCAGACCUCUCAGUCAGCUGGCCUGGCCACCGUAGACUCUCUUCAUUCCCGUCCAUUCAUCACUGUGCAUAGACUGUGACCAUGGAUGGAGUGCUGGUGGGUUUUUUUCCUCACUGAGUUAACUGUCUAGCUUCCUCCCUACAUCAAAGGCCUCCUAGGAAUGUGUUAUAUUUUUCUAGACCUAGCAUAUACCUGAGUAUGUACUAUAUCUCAAUAUACAUCUGCCAAAUGAAUGGCGUGCUAAAUAUGGCAUAUAAACGGAAUGGAGAAAUGGACCCCUGAGUGACUCAAGCUUUUUCAAAUGGUCUGUCAGGAACUGGUUCUCACAGGUUAUUUUUGGUACACUUAGGUCAUUAUCUGAGCUCACCUGACGUUGCCUCCCUCUUUUGGGGGGCCCUCAACUCUGGAACCCCUUUGUUCCCGUGCCAACAGCACUUGCUGUGUUCCUGGCAGAGGAACGAAGCAAAUUAAUGCCAUUGUCAACUCUCACUAGAAUCUAGACCUGGACCCUUGAGGCAGGGGUGGGACCAUUGUUGGAUUUAGCAGUUGUGGAGGGUGAGUUUGUUGUGAACAAUUGUCUCUGUAACUGUGGAGGUUUAGAAUUCCCACUAUCUGCCAUCUUGAAGGUGGCAGCCCAGAAAAGCCAAAGGUCCAUAUAAAGGGAGACAAAGGCAGGUGGGUCAAAACAUUUAGGCUAGCCUGUGCUACAUAGCAAUUUCCUGUAUUGUAGAAAAAAAGCCUGCCAUUUGGAAAAACUGUCUGUUUAAAAAAAAAAAAGAAAGAAAAGAAAAUAGU